rnacentral:rRNA from 1 species
CAAUUUGACCUCAAAUCAGGUAGGACUACCCGCUGAACUUAAGCA